rnacentral:rRNA from 1 species
CACGGGGGGAGCAAGCGUUGUUCGGAAUCACUGGGCGUAAAGGGCUCGUAGGCGGCCAACUAAGUCAGACGUGAAAUCCCUCGGCUUAACCGGGGAACUGCAUCUGAUACUGGAUGGCUUGAGUUCGGGAGAGGGAUGUGGAAUUCCAGGUGUAGCGGUGAAAUGCGUAGAUAUCUGGAGGAACACCGGUGGCGAAGGCGGCAUCCUGGACCGACACUGACGCUGAGGAGCGAAAGCCAGGGGAGCAAACGGG